UACAGAGGGUGCAAGCGUUAAUCGGAAUUACUGGGCGUAAAGCGUGCGUAGACGGUUGCGUAAGUCAGAUGUGAAAUCCCCGGGCUCAACCUGGGAACUGCAUUUGUGACUGCAUGGCUGGAGUGCGGCAGAGGGGGAUGGAAUUCCGCGUGUAGCAGUGAAAUGCGUAGAUAUGCGGAGGAACACCGAUGGCGAAGGCAAUCCCCUGGGCCUGCACUGACGCUCAUGCACGAAAGCGUGGGGAGCAAACAGG
rnacentral:rRNA from 1 species